rnacentral:rRNA from 1 species
GGUUUGAUUAUGGCUCAGAUUGAACGCUGGCGGGAUGCUUUACACAUGCAAGUCGAACGGCAGCACGGACUUCGGUCUGGUGGCGAGUGGCGAACGGGUGAGUAAUGUAUCGGAACGUGCCUAGUAGCGGGGGAUAACUACGCGAAAGCGUAGCUAAUACCGCAUACGCCCUUCGGGGGAAAGCGGGGACCUUCGGGCCUCGCACUAUUAGAGCGGCCGAUAUCGGAUUAGCUAGUUGGUGGGGUAACGGCUCACCAAGGCAGCGAUCCGUAGCUGGUUUGAGAGGACGACCAGCCACUGGGACUGAGACACGGCCCAGACUCCUGCAGGAGGCAGCAGUGGGGAAUUUUUGGACAAUGGGGAAACCCUGAUCCAGCCAUCCCGCGUGUGCGAUGAAGGCCUUCGGGUUGUAAAGCACUUUUGGCAGGAAAGAAACGGCACGGGAUAUGCCCCAUUGCAACUGACGGUACCUACCCAGAAUAAGCACCGGCUAACUACGCAAUGCCAGCAAGCGCGCGGUAAUACGUAGGGUGCAAGCGUUAAUCGGAAUUACUGGGCGUAAAGCGUGCGCAGGCGGUUCGGAAAGAAGAUGUGAAAUCCAGAGCUUAACUUUGGAACUGCAUUUUUAACUGCGAGCUAGGUGUGUCAGAGGAGGUGGAAUUCCGCGUGUAGCAGUGAAAUGCGUAGAUGUGCGGAGGAACACCGAUGGCGAAGGCAGCCUCCUGGGAUAACACCAAGCGCUCAUGCACGAAAGCGUGGGAGCAAACAGGAUUAGAUACCCUGGUAGUCCACGCCCUAAACGAUGUCAACUAGCUGUUGGGGCCUUCGGGCCUUGGUAGCGCAACUAACGCGUGAAGUUGACCGCCUGGGGAGUACGGUCGCAAGAUUAAAACUCAAAGGAAUUGACGGGGACCCGCACAAGCGGUGGAUGAUGUGGAUUAAUUCGAUGCAACGCGAAAAACCUUACCUACCCUUGACAUGUCUGGAAUCCAGAAGAGAUUUGCAGUGCUCGCAAGAAACCGGAACACAGGUGCUGCAUGGCUGUCGUCAGCUCGUGUCGUGAGAUGUUGGGUUAAGUCCACCAACGAGCGCAACCCUUGUCAUUAGUUGCUACGAAAGGGCACUCUAAUGAGACUGCCGGUGACAAACCGGGGAAGGUGGGGAUGACGUCAAGUCCUCAUGGCCCUUAUGGGUAGGGCUUCACACGUCAUACAAUGGUCAGGACAGAGGUCGCCUAGCCCGCGAGGGGAGCCAAUCCAGAAACCCGAUCACUGAUCCGGAUCGCAGUCUGCAACUCGACUGCGUGAAGUCGGAAUCGCUAUUAUCUUGAAUCGGCAUAAUGCGGUGGUGGUUCCCAGGUCUUGUACACACCGCCCGUCACACCAUGGGAGUGGGUUUUACCAGAAGUAGUUAGCCUUCCUAACCGUAAGGAGGGCGAUUACCACGGUAGGAUUCAUGACUGGGGUGAAGUCAUAGCUCCGGUAG